rnacentral:rRNA from 1 species
GACGAACGCUGGCGGCGUGCCUAAUACAUGCAAGUCGAGCGAAGUUUUUCUGGUGCUUGCACCGGAAAAACUUAGCGGCGAACGGGUGAGUAACACGUAAAGAACCUGCCUCAUAGACUGGGACAACUAUUGGAAACGAUAGCUAAUACCGGAUAACAGCAUUAACUGCAUGGUUGAUGUUUAAAAGUUGGUUUUGCUAACACUAUGAGAUGGCUUUGCGGUGCAUUAGCUAGUUGGUGGGGUAAAGGCCUACCAAGGCGACGAUGCAUAGCCGACCUGAGAGGGUGAUCGGCCACACUGGGACUGAGACACGGCCCAGACUCCUACGGGAGGCAGCAGUAGGGAAUCUUCCGCAAUGGGCGAAAGCCUGACGGAGCAACGCCGCGUGAGUGAAGAGGGAUUUCGGUUCGUAAAGCUCUGUUGUUAGGGAAGAAUGAUUGUGUAGUAACUAUACACAGUAGAGACGGUACCUAACCAGAAAGCCACGGCUAACUACGUG